ACCAUUUUAAGGUCUUGGUCAAGACCAGAGCCGUGUGGCGCCUUCUGAAUGGGUGGAUUCAUGAGACACAGAUCGCGAACGUGGCGCGAUCUGGUCCGUUGAAAAGAAACACAUAACGGAUGGUUGUGGGAAGGCCGCGUCGGCCUAAACGCGAGUGGAGGACGUAGCUCCACGUGUCGACGGGCGACUGGAUGAGGUGGCAAGCAUAUUUAAACCCAAAAAAAAAAAUUUCUUCUCAUUUUCAACUUCUUUCUUACACUCUCUCUCUCUCUCUCAAACCCGAAGCCUCAUCCCUUUCAUUCGUCCCUCUCUGCGAAUCGCCCCCCCGAGAAUCCUUCUUAUAUUCUGCAACCAAAGCCUUAACGUUGGAUCUGCUUUGGAGGAGAACUUUUGAAGCUUCAAUUGGGUUUGCAUCUUUGUCACCGACAAUCUACGUCGAGCGAUUUGCUCCAAAGAACUCACCGUCGGCUUCAGCUCCUCGCUACCUACCCAGCGUUGACCUCAUCAUCAAGAUUUUGACCACACCAUCGAAAACCUAUCAACUCUCUGUCAAACCCUUCUAUUUUCUCUCAGGCUCUCGACAAAAGCCCUAGAUUCAAACACUUCCUUUUCCUAGAUUUCGAACUCACGCGGUCAGAUCUGAAAGAUCUUAACACCCUUCGGUUCCCAUCCAUUACAUUUCACCACUCUGAAAAGCCCUUUGUUCAUUCGAAAAUUGGGAGAUCCCUGAACCCCAAACUUUAAAAUCCUUCAACAACUGGAGACCAAAUUUCCUUUCUACCCCAGGUGAUGCUAAAACUCCUGGUCUCACUAGCCUCGAUGCAGGCUGCCAAAAGGUGCUUGCAGAGAAGGUGUGCCCUGCGACGAUAUCCAGAGCAGUUCGAGCUAAGUACCUUUUUUCCCUUUUGUUACCACUUCUAGAUUUUGUUUAUGUGUAUGGCUCGUUGGGGUUCUGGGUUGAGAGUUUCAAGUCACAGGUUGACAGUUAGGGUUGAAAUUCAAUGUGUGUGAAUGUGAUGUGAAAUACUGCUAUUGUUUGUGGUCUUUGUGUCGUGAUUAGGGAGUUAGGGUUUGGAUCUGGUUUGGGUUGGGGACGAGGCUAUUCGUCUUUGACCAUGUGAACAAGACUCGGGUUGACUUAUGCAAGUCAACCCGGGUGAAUUGUGGACCUCGGGUUAGCCCGAGUGGGCUUAGGGCUGUUUAGGAAUGGACCUUGGCUGAUUUUUGAUGGACUGAGAUUAGGUUUUUUUUUUUUUGGAAAUGAUUAUGGGCUUUGGGUUUACAACACUUUAUGGGCUUAAUUUUGAAACACCUUACGAGCUUGGGUUAAAAACGUUUCAUGGGCUUGAGUCAAAAUAGCAAGGCUUUGGGUAGGCUUUUUAAAAAGGAGUCAGUGGGCUUAUUUUUAAGGUCAGUGGGCUGGCGUUUUAAAAAUGCUUUUGGGCUUGAUUUUAAAAGCAGGUUGGUGGGCUUAUUUUAAAAAUGGGUUUGGGUGUGUUUUGAAAACAGGUUUUGGUUGGUCAAGUUUGAAAAAUGUGAUGGCCUAGUUAAAUUAAAAAUGGCCUGGCCCAGUUAAUCGUUAAAUGGGCUGGGGUUUGGAACGGAACUGGGCCAAAGGUGUUUUUUGAAAAGGAAAAAAGAAGUGGACUGGGUAAAUCUUGGAAGAAUGGGCUUUUGUUUUCACAACCAAACGAAGCCUAGGAAUGCUUCAAAUAUAGAACUGGGUCGCGAGUUUGGGCUUGGUACGAGUUGAAGGAUUGGAUGGAACCCUAGUCCAAGUUCGGGUCAAGGUUCGAGUCUGUUCUCAGGUUCGAAACUUGAGAGAAGAAAGAGAAGUGUCUGCGCUCAUGCACUCAUAAUAAACACACAAACGGAACGAAUUCAAAAAUAGGGUGUAUGAAUUAUUACCUUCUUUUCUCCUUCUUCUUUUCUCUCAUUGGUGUUAGUUUGAUGACUGGUAUGGGGAUUGGUCUUGUGUUCGUUCCAGUUCGUCUGCUUAGGUACAAUUCUAAAUUCAUAGCCCUCCUCCUCUGCUCUCUGCAACCGAGCAGAGCUCCAACCUCUCUCUGAUUUCUCUCAAAUUAUGCAAAACCCUCUUAUCUUUCUUCUACUUUCUCUCUCUCACAAUUCUCGCAAAGUAUUCUUGUAUUCUUGGGGGCCCCCCCCCCCCCCCCCACUAAUUUUUGCAGGGUUCUAUUAGCUCUUUGAGGGGGUGUCUCUAUUUUUUCAGCAUUUCAUCUUAUGCUUUUUCCCCAUCUUUUGCAGUGUGCGAGCCUCCCUAUUUAUAGGGUGGUGGGGCGACCUUCUUCGUGCCAAAAUCCCUCUCAUUCUAACCGAUUUCCCCCACCAACAAACUUGGCAGGGAAUAAUUCCCUUUAACCACUCCCACGGGCUUUGAGGGAGAACAUUCCAGGUGGCAGCUUGGUAGUGGAGGGCUUGUCAUCUUCAUUUUCAUUGAAUUUUGUAUAUAUAUUUUCUAUUUUAUUGUAUUUUGUCAUUUUCUGUAUGAAUGUAUCCCCAAGUUGCCCCUCCUACAACCUUUAUUUGUGUAAACCUGUAUAUGGUGCUUUUUUAUUUUUGGGAUGAAUGUCAUGUUAAUUCCUUUGUGUA